AUCCUUGGGUUCAGAAACCUUUUGCUCCUCGAUCUCUCUCAUCUGUGUCACUGUGACGACGCCAUCGUUUUGGUUCCCGCACGGAUGACCUUUCCUUACCCUUACCUUCAGUCUUCAUUCUAAACCCCUAUCUUUAACAGCUUCUCCCCAAAUCAAAAAAGGAAGUUGAAACAGGAAAGCUAGCUUCUCCACCACCGCCGCAAGAACUGCCGCCGUCCGUCGCUCUCAGGCACUACCAUCGUCGUCUGGUCGUCCGUGCUUCUUCCUCCUUCAAGAAUCGCAGCUUCUUCUUCCUCGAGCUCGGCGCGUCAGUUCCUGGUAUAUCAUCUGCUCCAUCGCGCUCCUGCCGCCGUCCGUCGGGCGCUCAGUCACCAUCGUCUUCGUCUGGUCGUCGCAGAUUCUUCCAACUCAAACCGUCUUCUGAGUUGUGUUCGUCGCCUGGCCUCUGUCUCCGUCACGAUUCUGCCCCG
rnacentral:lncRNA from 1 species